rnacentral:rRNA from 1 species
GACGUAGGGUGCGAGCGUUGUCCGGAUUUAUUGGGCGUAAAGAGCUCGUAGGCGGCUCGUCGCGUCGACCGUGAAAACCCGCGGCUUAACUGCGGGCUUGCGGUUGAUACGGGCGGGCUAGAGUUCGGUAGGGGAGACUGGAAUUCCUGGUGUAGCGGUGAAAUGCGCAGAUAUCAGGAGGAACACCGGUGGCGAAGGCGGGGUCUCUGGGCCGAUACUGACGCUGAGGAGCGAAAGCGUGGGGAGCGAACAGG